rnacentral:rRNA from 1 species
GAUCUUGGCUCAGGACGAACGCUGGCGGCGCGCCUAACACAUGCAAGUCGAACGGUGAAGAGGAGCUUGCUCCUCGGAUCAGUGGCGGACGGGUGAGUAACACGUGAGCAACCUGGCUCUAAGAGGGGGACAACAGUUGGAAACGACUGCUAAUACCGCAUGACGUAUCGGGAUGGCAUCUUCCUGAUACCAAAGAUUUUAUCGCUUAGAGAUGGGCUCGCGUCUGAUUAGA